GAACGUAUGGCUUAAUGGUCAGAGCGCCUGGUCGGUUACCAGGGGGCGCGGGUUCCAGUCCCGCUACGUUAA
rnacentral:tRNA from 1 species